ensembl:lncRNA
CUCAGAGCCCUGCACAGCUCUGAGUUGUAGAGCCUCAGAUAUAAGCUGCUGUGCACUGAGCAGAAGAGCCCCCUGCUGCGGGGUGAAGCCCUUGGCUCCACGGGAGCUCCGAGCGGAUACAGAUCCUCACUUGAAUGCGUCAAUUUUUCACCUGGCAAAGGGCAGGGAAGGAAAUUACACAUUCAACUAGUCUUAAAAUCAGCUCACGUGACGCAUGUGCCCCUGCAGAGCACUUCUCCAGCACUCACAACAACCGUGUUACUCAGCUGGCAUCACGUCUGCUUUGCUGUUUCCUGCCUUCUACACUUGGGAUGGUUUCCUGACCUGGUAACUGUAGUGUUAAACUUUUCACCUUCGGAGCACAGUGUAUGUUUGGGUAUUGCAGAUGCCCUUAGGGUUACAGUGAGUUUACUGAAGCUCAUCCACCAGAGGAUUUCUUUUCUGGAACAAAGUCUGGUUCUGAUCUCACUUACGUUUAAGUGGGCUCACGUUGCACCAGGGAAGGUUCAGGCUGGAUGUUAGGGAAAAUCUCUUCUCCAAAGAGCAGUCAGGUACUGGCACAGCUGCCCAGGGAGUGGUGGGGUCACCAUUCCUGGAUGUGGCACUGAGGGACAUAGGCAGUGGGCAUGGUGGGGUGGGUUGGGGUUGAGCUUGGGGAUCUUGGAGGUCUUCUCCAACCUUAACAAUUCUAUGAUCCUAUGAUUCUAUAACUGGAUAAAGCCCUCCAUAACCUGACCCAACCUGAGAGCAGCAGGUUGGAGCAGAGUUUUCCAAAUCCCUUCCAACCUGAGUCUUGAUCCUACAAACCUCUGUGGUACUUCUUUGUCCCACGUAUAGGAGAGAAGCAGCAGGUCUCUAAUACAGGAGAACAGAGAAUAAAGGGUGGGAACUUCAUUAAUGCCUGAAGACUGACGCUGUUGAGGUUAAAAAGACACUGAGCAUUGCUAAACUGCAUUUUCAAAACAGUAAAGCUUUUUACAUUCAGAAUCUCAAAGCUUUUGAUAAACAAAGACAAGCACAAUCAUUCCCACAUCACAAAGCUAAAU